rnacentral:misc_RNA from 1 species
AGGGAUUUAUGGUGAAGAUAUUGAUAUCAACUUAACUGGGACUAACUAUUUUCAGUAUCAACCUACUGGAGAGACAAAAACUAACUAUUUCAUAGAAACAAGUUGCAAUACUGACUGGGUUGGAGAUAUCAAAGGUACCCGUGACCUUCAAUCUAAGGCUAUUGAGAAAGAUUACCACUCUUAUGUGCAUAGAGACUAUGAAGCAAAAGAUGAUAGACUGGAGGCUUUGGAUGGUAAUGAACCCGACGAGGCACCAGAUGAUGAGGGAGGUGCUACUUCAGAUGAGCG